rnacentral:rRNA from 1 species
CCCCGGUAAACGGCGGCCGUAACUAUAACGGUCCUAAGGUAGCGAAAUUCCUUGUCGGGUAAGUUCCGACCUGCACGAAUGGCGUAAUGAUGGCCAGGCUGUCUCCACCCGAGACUCAGUGAAAUUGAACUCGCUGUGAAGAUGCAGUGUACCCGCGGCAAGACGGAAAGACCCCGUGAACCUUUACUAUAGCUUGACACUGAACAUUGAGCCUUGAUGUGUAGGAUAGGUGGGAGGCUUUGAAGUGUGGACGCCAGUCUGCAUGGAGCCGACCUUGAAAUACCACCCUUUAAUGUUUGAUGUUCUAACGUGGACCCGUAAUCCGGGUUGCGGACAGUGUCUGGUGGGUAGUUUGACUGGGGCGGUCUCCUCCUAAAGAGUAACGGAGGAGCACGAAGGUUGGCUAAUCCUGGUCGGACAUCAGGAGGUUAGUGCAAUGGCAUAAGCCAGCUUGACUGCGAGCGUGACGGCGCGAGCAGGUGCGAAAGCAGGUCAUAGUGAUCCGGUGGUUCUGAAUGGAAGGGCCAUCGCUCAACGGAUAAAAGGUACUCCGGGGAUAACAGGCUGAUACCGCCCAAGAGUUCAUAUCGACGGCGGUGUUUGGCACCUCGAUGUCGGCUCAUCACAUCCUGGGGCUGAAGUAGGUCCCAAGGGUAUGGCUGUUCGCCAUUUAAAGUGGUACGCGAGCUGGGUUUAGAACGUCGUGAGACAGUUCGGUCCCUAUCUGCCGUGGGCGCUGGAGAACUGAGGGGGGCUGCUCCUAGUACGAGAGGACCGGAGUGGACGCAUCACUGGUGUUCGGGUUGUCAUGCCAAUGGCACUGCCCGGUAGCUAAAUGCGGAAGAGAUAAGUGCUGAAA